CGCGUAUACAAUCUACCUUUUACAGGGGGAUAGCCUUUAGAAAUGAAGAAUAAUACCCCAUAGUAAGUAUUUUUCGCAUGGAAAAUACUUUAAAGAUUUAUCGGUAAAAGAUGAGUAUGCGUUCUAUUAGCUAGAUGGUAAGGUAACGGCUUACCAUGGCAACGAUAGAUAGGGGCCCUGAGAGGGGGAUCCCCCACACUGGUACUGAGACACGGACCAGACUCCUACGGGAGGCAGCAGUGAGGAAUAUUGGACAAUGGAGGCAACUCUGAUCCAGCCAUGCCGCGUGCAGGAAGACUG
rnacentral:rRNA from 1 species